GCCACCUGGGCCUUGAUGUGGUUCUCAUCUCCCUGUGUGGAAACCACCACUGCUCUGUUCAUACUGCAUAUGCUUCAUGCGACCUCUGGAUCAUUGUGGAUGUGCUCUGGUCCACGUCCCUGCCUGCACAGCACUCUUCAACACGAACGUCUUCAAACUGCUGCAUAUUCUGAUAAACUGAUCAGGUGAUCAAUAGGAUCUAGUCUUACCGGAGCAGCCCAGCUGUGAUCCAGCAGAGCCACAACCAUCAGA